rnacentral:rRNA from 1 species
CCUACGGGGGGCAGCAGUGAGGAAUAUUGGUCAAUGGCCGAGAGGCUGAACCAGCCAAGCCGCGUGAGGGAAGAAUGUCCUAUGGAUUGUAAACUUCUUUUGUCAGGGAGCAAAGUCACCCACGUGAGGGUGAUGGAGAGUACCUGAAGAAAAAGCAUCGGCUAACUCCGUGCCAGCAGCCGCGGUAAUACGGGGGAUGCGAGCGUUAUCCGGAUUUAUUGGGUUUAAAGGGUGCGUAGGCGGGUUAUCAAGUCAGCGGUAAAAUCGCGGGGCUCAACUCCGCCCAGCCGUUGAAACUGAUGAUCUUGAGUGUGCGAGAGGUAUGCGGAAUGCGUGGUGUAGCGGUGAAAUGCUUAGAUAUCACGCAGAACUCCGAUUGCGAAGGCAGCAUACCGGCGCCCAACUGACGCUGAGGCACGAAAGCGUGGGUAUCGAACAGGAUUAGAUACCCGUGUAGUC